GUCCACACCGUAAACGUUGGGCGCUAGGUGUGGGGCUCAUUCCACGAGUUCCGUGCCGCAGCUAACGCAUUAAGCGCCCCGCCUGGGGAGUACGGCCGCAAGGCUAAAACUCAAAGGAAUUGACGGGGGCCCCGCACAAGCGGCGGAGCAUGCGGAUUAAUUCGAUGCAACGCGAAGAACCUUACCUGGGUUUGACAUACGCCGGAAAGCCGUAGAGAUACGGCCCCUUUUAGUCGGUGUACAGGUGGUGCAUGGCUGUCGU
rnacentral:rRNA from 1 species